rnacentral:rRNA from 1 species
UACGUAGGUGGCAAGCGUUAUCCGGAUUUAUUGGGCGUAAAGGGAACGCAGGCGGUCUUUUAAGUCUGAUGUGAAAGCCUUCGGCUUAACCGGAGUAGUGCAUUGGAAACUGGGAGACUUGAGUGCAGAAGAGGAGAGUGGAACUCCAUGUGUAGCGGUGAAAUGCGUAGAUAUAUGUAAGAACACCAGUGGCGAAAGCGGCUCUCUGGUCUGUAACUGACGCUGAGGUUCGAAAGCGUGGGUAGCAAACAGG